UACGAAGGGGGCUAGCGUUGCUCGGAAUCACUGGGCGUAAAGCGCACGUAGGCGGGUCUUUAAGUCAGGGGUGAAAUCCUGGAGCUCAACUCCAGAACUGCCUUUGAUACUGAGGAUCUCGAGUCCGGGAGAGGUGAGUGGGAACUCCGAGUGUAGAGGUGAAAUUCGUAGAUAUUCGGAAGAACACCAGUGGCGAAGGCGGCUCACUGGCCCGGUACUGACGCUGAGGGUGCGAAAGCGUGGGGAGCAAAUAGG
rnacentral:rRNA from 1 species